AAAAAUAAAAAGUGAAAGAUGGCAUGCCAAGAUCUUGUUGUUGUUGUUGCACUUGUUUUCAUGGUUGUUGUUGGGGCAUUUGCUGUCGAAUCGUCACCUUCACCAGUCCCUUCCAAGGAAUCUUCACCUUCGAAGUCACCAUCUCCUUCUUCUCUGGCUUCAUCCCCCAAGUCCCCCUCCAUUAAGUCACCGUCACAAGACUCCAAUGGCUCAUCUUUUUCACCAUCAAAAUCCCACGAAGGAGCACCCAAGUCAUCUCAUCCUGGUGCCUCAAUGAUCUCUUCAAGCUCCUCUUCCCCUAAUCCUAGUCAAAGCGACAACCUUAACGCCAACAAAGGAUACUCUUCUGAGGUUGAGUCUCCUAUGGAGGUCUCAUCCCCUCCUUCACCAACCGCCAAUGAUGAAGUUUCUCACUCCCCUACUCCUAGCCCUGAAAGCACGAGUGAUGUUGUCGAUAGUGAGACCCUUGCACCAGCACCCUCUAAUGCCAAUGAAAUAAAGGCCACCACUUGUAUUGUCAGUGUUGUAACUCUUGUCGGACUCUUCCUCUUUUAAGCUUCACAUGCAUAAGUUCAUGGAAGGCCUUGAGAUGUGCUUUCUAGUUACCUUUAAUUUUUAUUAUAAAAAAGUCCUAUUUAUAUGCUAAUUAAAAUUGUACUUUUGAGGCCUGGAAUAAAAUUUAUAAUAUAUAUUUUUUAAUUAAUGUACUAAUAGCGAAUCAAAACCUGUUAAUAUCUGGCAUUAAAUAAGUUCGAAUCAUUGAUUAAGCUUGUUUAAGAAUUUUCAUGCUUAAGGUCUAACUUGAGGUAGUUAAAGCUUGUCCGUAUUCAAGCUCAAGCUUAGCCUAAUAAUUAAGUUUAGGUUAAUAAUAUAUACUAAAGAUGAUAACAUAUUUUAAUAAUAUAAAAACAUUUAAAAUAUAUAUUAAAAAUAAAAGUCUCGAUAAGGCUCACGAGCUAUUCAAGCAAGUAUUUUGUAAUAGCCUAAUUUUAGGGUUAGUCAAGACAGUGGUUUUUGGACCACAAUAUGAGGUCAAAAUAAUUAUUUUAUUAUUUUAUUAAUGUUUACAGUAUCAUAGAAUGUUCGUGUAAAAAUUUCGUAAAGAGAUUUUAUCGUUUAAGUGUUUAAUUGGUAAAAAGGACUAAAUCGCUUAAAGCGUAAAAAUUGAGUUCUAAUAGCUAAAAGUGUUUAAAUUCUCUAGAAUUUAAAGGAGGAAGUCCUUAUGUGUUAAUUAGUCCAAUUAUGAGAUAGUGGCUGAAAAUGGUUUGGUAAUGUGGUAAAUUGAAUUGAUUUUUAAGGUUAAAUUUGUAAUAUGGUUAUUAAGUAAAGUAAAAAUAAAAUAAACAAAGGUGUCAUCUUCCACCCAUUAUAUUUCCACCAAAAAAUGAGAAAGAAAACACCAUGGAUAUGGCUUCAAAGGUUUGGCCAUCUUAAGAUUAAAUUAUAAGUUCAUUUUUGACUCGGUUUUUAAUAAUUUCUACGUUUUUUAGAUCAUUGCUUCGAAAUCUAGCUAGCCCGUACCUCUGAUUUCAAAACUGUUAAAGAUUUUGAUAGUUGUCAUUGUUGAAUAUAUGUGUUAAUUGAAGUUUGAUGAUGAAAUAUGAAAUUUUGAUGAUAGUUUUACAUGUUCAGUAAAGUGAUUUUGAGUAAAAAUGUCAAUUUUGGACUAAAUUAAGAAAAAUGAUAGAUCGUGUGGUAAAAGUGUGAAUAAAUAAAAAAUGUUGGCUUUUAUGGAAAUAAUAAAAAUUCAGCUAGCUUGGGUUUGUGUUUAAUUUUAUGAAAUUGUGAUUUUAUGUGACAAGGACUGAAUUGCAAAAAUGUGAAAGUUUAGGGGCAAAAGUGUAAAAUUGCCAUAAUGUGUAAAUUGUGUUAAAUUGAGUGAAUUAGUGAUUAAAUAAGGUAAUUUUUUAAUAUAUAGAUUGAGAAAAACAAGAUUUGGACCUAGAAAUAGGACAAAAACUAUGUAUUGGAUUAGUCGACCUAAUUCGUCGUUUCAACGAACGAGGUAAGUUCAUAUGUUAAAUAAUGUUCUUAAAUUGUGUUCUAAAUGUCCAUUUAUCAUUGAAUUGAUAUGAAUAUUGAUUGGAUGAGUACGACCAUGAAUCGAAAAAGUUACAACGUUUGAAAGUCCCGUACGAACAUUUGGAAUAGCUUAGGAUACUAAGAUGUGAUUACGUGUAAGACCAUGUCUGGGACAUUGGCAUUCUUACGUGAUUCGUGUAAGACCAUGUAUGGGACAUUGGCAUCGAUACGAUAUUCGUGUAAGACCAUGUCUGGGAUGUUGGCAUCGAUAUGAAAUUCGUGUAAGACCAUAGUUGGCUAUUGGCAUUGAUAUGUGAUAACAUGUAAGAUCAUAUCUGGGAUAUGGCAUUGUGCGAGUUAUACGAGAUUUUUGAAUAUCCUUAGCAAUUCUUAAUAGUUCAACGGGGAAAUUCAAGACGAGAAUAAAAGUGUAAACGAAAUAAGUGGUACAGGUAUGUACGAUACUCAUACGUAUAUUGAAUGAAAGAAGAUUGAUAAAUAGAUGUGAGCUCUUGUAUAUUACAUGGAAAUGUUUGAGUUUAUGUAAGUGUUUGAUUUAUAUAAAUGCUUAUUGAGGAUAUCGAAUUUCACAUUAUGAGUAAGUGGAUAGUUAUGAGAAAUCCAUAUAGUUGGUUUAUGUGGCAUGUAUAGGCUAGUUGAUUGGAUAAGUACGACCAUGAAUCGAAAAAGUUACGACGUUUGAAAGUCCCGUACGAACAUUUGAAAUAGCUUAGGAUACUAAGAUGUGAUUACGUGUAAGACCAUGUCUGGGACAUUGGCAUUCUUACGUGAUUCGUGUAAGACCAUGUAUGGGACAUUGGCAUCGAUACGAUAUUCGUGUAAGACCAUGUCUGGGAUGUUGGCAUCGAUAUGAAAUUCGUGUAAGACCAUAGUUGGCUAUUGGCAUUGAUAUGUGAUAACAUGUAAGACCAUAUCUGGGAUAUGGCAUUGUGCGAGUUAUACGAGAUUUUUGAGUAUCCUUAGCAAUUCUUAAUGGUUCAACGGGGAAAUUCAAGAGGAGAAUAAAAGUGUAAACGAAAUAAGUGGUACAGGUAUGUACGAUACUCAUACGUAUAUGGAAUGAAAGAAGAUUGAUAAAUAGAUGUGAGCUCGUGUAUAUUACAUGGAAAUGUUUGAGUUUAUGUAAGUGUUUGAUUUAUAUAAAUGCUUAUUGAGGAUAUCGAAUUUCACAUUAUGAGUAAGGUUUUGUUAUAAGUAUCAAUAUGAUUACUAACAAUUUUUUUAAUUCACUAUUUUAAAAUAAAAAUGCAAGUAUAAACAAACAUUAACUAUUCAAUUAGAUUUUGAUUCCAAAGAAAAAAAUCAUAACAAAUAGAAGUUAAACAAGCCUAAUAAAAAAUAGAACAAAACCUUAAUAUAGUAUUGUGAGAUGUUAAAGGUUCAAUUUUAGUUCAUAAGAAAAUCACUUCUCUUACAUGCACAUAUUAUAUAUAUAUAUAUCAAUCUUUUAAUAAACAAAGAUAACAAGUUAUAAGAAAAUAUUAAAAAGAAAAAGUGAAAGAUGGCAUGCCAAGAUCUUGUUGUUGUUGUGGCACUUAUUUUCAUGGUUGUUGUUGGGGCAUUUGUAGUCGAAUCGUCACCUUCACCAGUCCCUUCCAAGGCAUCUUCACCUUCGAAGUCACCAUCUACUUCUUCUCAGGCUUCAUCCCCCAAGUCCCCCUCCAUUAAGUCACUGUCACAAGACUCCAAUGGCUCAUCUUUUUCACCAUCAAAAUCCCACGAAGGAGCACCCAAGUCAUCUCAUCCUGGUGCCCCAAUGAGCUCUUCAAGCUCCUCUUCCCCUAAUCCUAGUCAAAGCGACAACCCUAACGCCAACAAAGGAUACUCUUCUGAGGUUGAGUCUCCUGAAGAGGUCUCAUCACCUCCUUGACCAACUGCCAAUGAUGAAGUUUCUCACUCCCCUACUCCUAGCCCUGAAAGCACGGGUGAUGUUGUCGAUAGUGAGACCCUUGCACCAGCACCCUCUAAUGCCAUUGAAAUAAAGUCCACCACUUGUAUUGUCAGUGUUGUAACUCUUGUCGGACUCUUCCUCUUUUAAGCUUCACAUGCAUAAGUUAAUGGAAGGCCUUGAGAUGUGCUUUAUAGUUACCUUUAAUAUUUAUUAAAAAAGUCCUAUUUAUAUGCUAAUUAAAAUUGUACUUUUGAAGCCUGAAAUAAAAUUUAUAAUAUAUAUUUUUUAAUUAAUGUACUAAUAGUGAAUCAAAACCUGUUAAUAUCUGGCAUUAAAUAAGUUUGAAGCACUGAUUAAGCUUGUUUAAGAAUUUUCAUGAUUAAGGUCUAACUUGAGGUAGUUAAAGCUUGUCCGUAUUCAAGCUCAAGCUUAGCCUAAUAAUUACGUUUAGGUUAAUAAUAUAUACUAAAGAUGAUAACAUAUUUUAAUAAUAUAAAAACAUUUAAAAUAUACAUUAAAAAUAAAAGUCUCGAUAAGGCUCACGAGCUAUUCAAGCAAGUAUUUUGUAAUAGCCUAAUUUUAGGGUUAGUCAAGACAGUGGUUUUUGGACCACAAUAUGAGGUCAAAAUAAUUAUUUUAUUAUUUUAUUAAUGUUUACAGUAUCAUAGAAUGUUCGUGUAAAAAUUUCGUAAAGAGAUUUUAUCGUUUAAGUGUUUAAUUGGUAAAAAGGACUAAAUCGCUUAAAGCGUAAAAAUUGAGUUCUAAUAGCUAAAAGUGUUUAAAUUCUCUAGAAUUUAAAGGAGGAAGUCCUUAUGUGUUAAUUAGUCCAAUUAUGAGAUAGUGGCUAAAAAUGGUUUGGUAAUGUGGUAAAUUGAAUUGAUUUUUAAGGUUAAAUUUGUAAUAUGGUAAUUAAGUAAAGUAAAAAUAAAAUAAACAAAGGUGUCAUCUUCCACCCAUUAUAUUUCCACCAAAAAAUGAGAAAGAAAACACCAUGGAUAUGGCUUCAAAGGUUUGGCCAUCUUAAGAUUAAAUUAUAAGUUCAUUUUUGACUCGGUUUUUAAUAAUUUCUACGUUUUUUAGAUCAUUGCUUCGAAAUCUAGCUAGCCCGUACCUCUGAUUUCAAAACUGUUAAAGAUUUUGAUAGUUGUCAUUGUUGAAUAUAUGUGUUAAUUGAAGUUUGAUGAUGAAAUAUGAAAUUUUGAUGAUAGUUUUACAUGUUCAGUAAAGUGAUUUUGAGUAAAAAUGUCAAUUUUGGACUAAAUUAAGAAAAAUGAUAGAUCGUGUGGUAAAAGUGUGAAUAAAUAAAAAAUGUUGGCUUUUAUGGAAAUAAUAAAAAUUCAGCUAGCUUGGGUUUGUGUUUAAUUUUAUGAAAUUGUGAUUUUAUGUGACAAUGACUGAAUUGCAAAAAUGUGAAAGUUUAGGGGUAAAAGUGUAAAAUUGCCAUAAUGUGUAAAUUGUGUUAAAUUGAGUGAAUUAGUGAUUAAAUAAGGUAAUUUUUUUAAUAUAUAGAUUGAGAAAAAUAAGAUUUGGACCUAGAAAUAGGACAAAAACUAUGUAUUGGAUUAGUCGACCUAAUUCGUCGUUUCAACGAACGAGGUAAGUUCAUAUGUUAAAUAAUGUUCUUAAAUUGUGUUCUAAAUGUCCAUUUAUCAUUGAAUUGAUAUGAAUAUUGAUUGGAUGAGUACGACCAUGAAUCGAAAAAGUUACGACGUUUGAAAGUCCCGUACGAACAUUUGGAAUAGCUUAGGAUACUAAGAUGUGAUUACGUGUAAGACCAUGUCUGGGACAUUGGCAUUCUUACGUGAUUCGUGUAAGACCAUGUAUGGGACAUUGGCAUCGAUACGAUAUUCGUGUAAGACCAUGUUUGGGAUGUUGGCAUCGAUAUGAAAUUCGUGUAAGACCAUAGUUGGCUAUUGGCAUUGAUAUGUGAUAACAUGUAAGACCAUAUCUGGGAUAUGGCAUUGUGCGAGUUAUACGAGAUUUUUGAGUAUCCUUAGCAAUUCUUAAUGGUUCAACGGGGAAAUUCAAGAGGAGAAUAAAAGUGUAAACGAAAUAAGUGGUACAGGUAUGUACGAUACUCAUACGUAUAUUGAAUGAAAGAAGAUUGAUAAAUAGAUGUGAGCUCGUGUAUAUUACAUGGAAAUGUUUGAGUUUAUGUAAGUGUUUGAUUUAUAUAAAUGCUUAUUGAGGAUAUCGAAUUUCACAUUAUGAGUAAGUGGAUAGUUAUGAGAAAUCCAUAUAGUUGGUUUAUGUGGCAUGUAUAGGCUAGUUGAUUGGAUGAGUACGACCAUGAAUCGAAAAAGUUACGACGUUUGAAAGUCCCGUACGAACAUUUGAAAUAGCUUAGGAUACUAAGAUGUGAUUACGUGUAAGACCAUGUCUGGGACAUUGGCAUUCUUACGUGAUUCGUGUAAGACCAUGUAUGGGACAUUGGCAUCGAUACGAUAUUCGUGUAAGACCAUGUCUGGGAUGUUGGCAUCGAUAUGAAAUUCGUGUAAGACCAUAGUUGGCUAUUGGCAUUGAUAUGUGAUAACAUGUAAGACCAUAUCUGGGAUAUGGCAUUGUGCGAGUUAUACGAGAUUUUUGAGUAUCCUUAGCAAUUCUUAAUGGUUCAACGGGGAAAUUCAAGAGGAGAAUAAAAGUGUAAACGAAAUAAGUGGUACAGGUAUGUACGAUACUCAUACGUAUAUGGAAUGAAAGAAGAUUGAUAAAUAGAUGUGAGCUCGUGUAUAUUACAUGGAAAUGUUUGAGUUUAUGUAAGUGUUUGAUUUAUAUAAAUGCUUAUUGAGGAUAUCGAAUUUCACAUUAUGAGUAAGGUUUUGUUAUAAGUAUCAAUAUGAUUACUAACAAUUUUUUUAAUUCACUAUUUUAAAAUAAAAAUGCAAGUAUAAACAAACAUUAACUAUUCAAUUAGAUUUUGAUUCCAAAGAAAAAAAUCAUAACAAAUAGAAGUUAAACAAGCCUAAUAAAAAAUAGAACAAAACCUUAAUAUAGUAUUGUGAGAUGUUAAAGGUUCAAUUUUAGUUCAUAAGAAAAUCACUUCUCUUACAUGCACAUAUUAUAUAUAUAUAUCAAUCUUUUAAUAAACAAAGAUAACAAGUUAUAAGAAAAUAUUAAAAAGAAAAAGUGAAAGAUGGCAUGCCAAGAUCUUGUUGUUGUUGUGGCACUUAUUUUCAUGGUUGUUGUUGGGGCAUUUGUAGUCGAAUCGUCACCUUCACCAGUCCCUUCCAAGGCAUCUUCACCUUCGAAGUCACCAUCUCCUUCUUCUCUGGCUUCAUCCCCCAAGUCCCCCUCCAUUAAGUCACCGUCACAAGACUCCAAUGGCUCAUCUUUUUCACCAUCAAAAUCCCACGAAGGAGCACCCAAGUCAUCUCAUCCUGGUGCCCCAAUGAGCUCUUCAAGCUCCUCUUCCCCUAAUCCUAGUCAAAGCGACAACCCUAACGCCAACAAAGGAUACUCUUCCGAGGUUGAGUCUCCUGAAGAGGUCUCAUCAC
rnacentral:lncRNA from 1 species